rnacentral:RNase_P_RNA from 1 species
CGAGUAAGUCAGACAAUCGCUGCUGUGAAAACACAGGAGAGGAAAGUCCGAGCUCCAUUGGGCAGGGUGCUGGGUAACCCCCAGUCAGGGUGACCUGAAGGAAAGUGCAACAGAGAUAUACCGCCGAAGCUUUGUUUCGGUAAGGGUGGAAAGGUGAGGUAAGAGCUCACCAGCGCAUUGGUGACUUUGCGGCUAUGUAAACCCCACCUGGAGCAAGAUUGAGAAGUAUCAAGGGGCGGCCCGUUCCACUUCUCGUUAGUAUCGCUUGAGCCUACUGGUAACAGUAGGCCUAGAUAGAUGAUUGUCAAAUACAGAACUCGGCUUAUAGACUUGGUCGCAUA